rnacentral:rRNA from 1 species
AUUGAACGCUGGCGGCAGGCCUAACACAUGCAAGUCGAGCGGAUGACGGGAGCUUGCUCCUUGAUUCAGCGGCGGACGGGUGAGUAAUGCCUAGGAAUCUGCCUGGUAGUGGGGGACAACGUUUCGAGAGGAACGCUAAUACCGCAUACGUCCUACGGGAGAAAGCAGGGGACCUUCGGGCCUUGCGCUAUCAGAUGAGCCUAGGUCGGAUUAGCUAGUAGGUGAGGUAAUGGCUCACCUAGGCGACGAUCCGUAACUGGUCUGAGAGGAUGAUCAGUCACACUGGAACUGAGACACGGUCCAGACUCCUACGGGAGGCAGCAGUGGGGAAUAUUGGACAAUGGGCGAAAGCCUGAUCCAGCCAUGCCGCGUAUGUGAAGAAGGUCUUCGGAUUGUAAAGCACUUUAAGUUGGGAGGAAGGGCAGUAAGCUAAUACCUUGCUGUUUUGACGUUACCGACAGAAUAAGCACCGGCUAACUCUGUGCCAGCAGCCGCCGUAACAC